GAUGAAGAACGUAGCGAAAUGCGAUACGUAAUGUGAAUUGCAGAAUUCAGUGAAUCAUCGAAUCUUUGAACGCAUAUUGCGCUCUCUGGUAUUCCGGAGAGCAUGCUUGUUUGAGUAUCAGUAAACACCUCAACUUCCAUAUCUUUUUUGAAAUGGGAGUUGGACUUGAGUGAUCCCAACGCUUUUCCUCACCGAAAAGUGGCGGGUUACUUGAAAUGCAGGUGCAGCUGGACUUUUCGCUGAGCUAUAAGCAUAUCUAUUUAGUCUGCCUAAAAAACAGAUUAUUACCUUUGCUGCAGCUAACAUAAAGGAGAUUAGUUCUUGUGCUGACUGAUGCAGGAUUCACAAAGACAGGCUUCGGCCGACUUUGUAAACUCGAUCUCAAAUCAAGUAAGACUACCCGCUGAACUUAAGCAUAUCAAUAAGCGGAGGA
rnacentral:misc_RNA from 1 species